AAAAAGCGGCGUUCAAAGGCAGAUAAAAACGGCAUUCUGUUGGGAUAAACAGCGUUUUUUUUACACAAUUUCUUAACCAAAUAAUGCAAUACAACAUUGUUAUUGUUAAUUGUGAUUCAUCAUUACUCUGUUAAUCACUGAGUUGAGCAAAAGUAAAUCAAUAAUAAAAGAUAAAUACUAUAAAUAUAAGAAUAAAACCCAAAGAGUAUAUUUAACACCCCUACUGGUUAGGAAGGAGCAAGCCCGGCCUUCCCCUGCUCUGUACCGUCACUUGUGCUCAGACACAGAGAGAGACGGAGGUGCAUGAGACCUUCGCUGAUUUUCACGCCAAGCUUGUUGCUGGAAAAUAACUAUAAACUUGAUAAAUUGCGCAAAUAUCCAUACCGGAGAUCUGCAUGGACCUUGGAGAAACGGACCUGAUCUGUUGUGAACAUUUUGGACUUUGAAACCAUCGCGAUCUGCACAGGUGCGGAUGAAGCGGACAAGAUCCUCUCUGAGAGUUGAACAUUAGAAGCGUGCUGGCUAGGUUUUUUUGUGGGAUCUUGAGACCUGGAUUUCUUCCUGACGAGGAAGAUGGCGAGCCUUUCCCGAGUUGGCCCAGAAGGGCAGGUUGCUCUUCUCUCACGAACAAUUGCAACAGUGCGGUAGGACGAAAUCGCACCAAUCACAGACUGUUGACUUAUUGGAUUUGACUUGACUGAACACUGACUAUUAAGCCAGCAAGACUGACAUAUCUGAGCUCAGAUAGGAUUCUGAUUGUUCUUAUUAUUGCUGUCACUGUAUUUUAUUUUAUGUUUUCAUUCCUGUUUAUGAAGUGCUGUUAAAUUGUUGCUAAAUAGUUCAAUACAAUUCAAAGCAACUUUACCUGUGGCUCCAGUCAUUCUUCUCCACGCAACUCACUUUAUCCCUCCUACAAAUCUAGCUAUUGGCCCAUUCUCUCCAUCUUACUUUAACUUCCCCUACCCUAUCCUGUACUUGGCUACAAAACAAACUCAGGUUUACCUCUCUGACACAAUCCCAGCAAAACCUGUUGAAAAUUACACGAGUGUUUCAUUGUAGAUUCUCAGUUUCCAUUUAUUUUAAUUCUGUGUGUACGCAGUGUGUCUGUAUGGUAUGCAGGGGACACUAAUGGGAACAGGAAGGCUGCGCAGAGAUUAACUAACACAUCCCAAAAAAUGAUUGGCUGCUCUCUGCCACCCUGGAGGCCAUUGCCAGAUCCUCCUGUCUCAGGUAAACCAGGGCCCUCACAGGUGAACCCGCCCACUACCUGUUUGACCGCUGCUCUCUGGUCUGUGCCUCAAGUCAAUCAGCUCCCACACCUCCAGACUCACUAACAGCUUCUUCCCCUUGGUCAUUCAGACUGUUAACAAACACUAUUCCCCCACACCCCGCCCCUGCCCACCCACAUCACCCAUCUGAGCCAUGGUCAGAUUAACCCUACAUGACUCUAUUCAGACCAAGUCUCGU